rnacentral:rRNA from 1 species
GCGGAGGGAUCAUUACCGAGUUUACAACUCCCAAACCCAAUGUGAACGUUACCAAACUGUUGCCUCGGCGGGGUCACGCCCCGGGUGCGUCGCAGCCCCGGAACCAGGCGCCCGCCGGAGGAACCAACCAAACUCUUUCUGUAGUCCCCUCGCGGACGUAUUUCUUACAGCUCUGAGCAAAAAUUCAAAAUGAAUCAAAACUUUCAACAACGGAUCUCUUGGUUCUGGCAUCGAUGAAGAACGCAGCGAAAUGCGAUAAGUAAUGUGAAUUGCAGAAUUCAGUGAAUCAUCGAAUCUUUGAACGCACAUUGCGCCCGCCAGUAUUCUGGCGGGCAUGCCUGUCCGAGCGUCAUUUCAACCCUCGAACCCCUCCGGGGGAUCGGCGUUGGGGAUCGGGACCCCUCACACGGGUGCCGGCCCCGAAAUACAGUGGCGGUCUCGCCGCAGCCUCUCCUGCGCAGUAGUUUGCACAACUCGCACCGGGAGCGCGGCGCGUCCACGUCCGUAAAACACCCAACUUCUGAAAUGUGACCU